rnacentral:rRNA from 1 species
CCGAGCGGUAUAGAUCUUUCGGGAUCUAGAGAGCGGCGUACGGGUGCGGAACACGUGUGCAACCUGCCUUUAUCAGGGGGAUAGCCUUUCGAAAGGAAGAUUAAUACCCCAUAAUAUUUAGAAUGGCAUCAUUUUAAAUUGAAAACUCCGGCGGAUAGAGAUGGGCACGCGCAAGAUUAGAUAGUUGGUGAGGUAACGACUCACCAAGUCUGCGAUCUUUAGGGGGCCUGAGAGGGUGAUCCCCCACACUGGUACUGAGACACGGACCAGACUCCUACGGGAGGCAGCAGUGAGGAAUAUUGGACAAUGGGUGAGAGCCUGAUCCAGCCAUCCCGCGUGAAGGACGACGGCCCUAUGGGUUGUAAACUUCUUUUGUACAGGGAUAAACCUACCCUCGUGAGGGUAGCUGAAGGUACUGUACGAAUAAGCACCGGCUAACUCCGUGCCAGCAGCCGCGGUAAUACGGAGGGUGCAAGCGUUAUCCGGAUUUAUUGGGUUUAAAGGGUCCGUGGGCGGAUGUGUAAGUCAGUGGUGAAAUCUCACAGCUUAACUGUGAAACUGCCAUUGAUACUGCAUGUCUUGAGUGUUGUUGAAGUAGCUGGAAUAAGUAGUGUAGCGGUGAAAUGCAU